rnacentral:rRNA from 1 species
UACAGAGGUCUCAAGCGUUGUUCGGAUUCAUUGGGCGUAAAGGGCGCGUAGGCUGCGGGGCAAGUCGGGUGUGAAAUCUCAGAGCUCAACUCUGAAACUGCAAUCGAUACUGCUUUGCUUGAGGACUGGAGAGGAGAUUGGAAUUCACGGUGUAGCAGUGAAAUGCGUAGAUAUCGUGAGGAAGACCAGUGGCUAAGGCGGAUCUCUGGACAGUUCCUGACGCUGAGGCGCGAAGGCCAGGGGAGCAAACGGG